GGGUCGAUGCCCGAGCGGUUAAUAUGGACGGAUUGUAAAUUCAUUGGCAAUAUGCCUACACUGGUUCGAAUCCAGCUCAACCUA